rnacentral:rRNA from 1 species
ACGAACGCUGGCGGCGUGCUUAACACAUGCAAGUCGAACGGAAAGGCCCUGCUUUUGUGGGGUGCUCGAGUGGCGAACGGGUGAGUAACACGUGAGUAACCUGCCCUUGACUUUGGGAUAACUUCAGGAAACUGGGGCUAAUACCGGAUAGGAGCUCCUGCUGCAUGGUGGGGGUUGGAAAGUUUCGGCGGUUGGGGAUGGACUCGCGGCUUAUCAGCUUGUUGGUGGGGUAGUGGCUUACCAAGGCUUUGACGGGUAGCCGGCCUGAGAGGGUGACCGGCCACAUUGGGACGGAGAAACGGCCAGACUCCUACGGGAGGCAGCAGUGGGGAAUAUUGCACAAUGGGCGGAAGCCUGAUGCAGCAACGCCGCGUGCGGGAUGACGGCCUUCGGGUUGUAAACCGCUUUCGCCUGUGACGAAGCGUGAGUGACGGUAAUGGGUAAAGAAGCACCGGCUAACUACGUG